UGCCCUGUCUCAUUUCGCAUAGCUAAAAAAUAAUGCUAAUUAAGAUCCCUUGUCUUAACCUGAAAAUAAUGACUCGGAUAUAAUUAGAAAUCUGGCUAGAGUUUAAAAUUCUGGUAAGGGACCAAAAACAUCAGUUACGGUGCUUAGGAGGGAAAUGAAGAAUUAUUUUUCUGUAAUCAAGGUAAACAUGGCAGAGGGGGGUUCCCCCCUAUCUUUUUUAACCAAUUUUAACCAAUGGUGUUCUACAGCAGAUGAGAGGAUACUGUAUUUCGAAAACUAUUUUAGCCAUCAAAUUGAAAGGACACAAAUCAGUAGCAAUAGAAGCCUUCUUAAUCCUCCUUAGGAUGCAAUUCAGAUGAAAGAACUGCUUUUUUUUUUUAUUUUCUUUUUGUAUGUGUGUGUUAUAGAUGGAUCUGAGAACGCUGUCUGGGCUUGGUGCCAAGCGCUGGUAUUUCACAGCAGCGACCGCCUCACAGACGAGCUGUGGGAAGCAGGAGGGAGACUCUCUCUUAGGGUGGAGACACAGCUGGGCUGAACAAGAUUUGCUUCAAACGACAACAAGAGAGACAGAAAGUAUCUGGUUCAACCGCUGCCCAAGCAGGCAGGCACCAGAAGAGCUAGCAGCCAAUCCGGCCAUGCUCGAAGCCAGCUCUGCAGCUCAGCCAAUCAGUGACAUCACUGCAGUUUUAUUUGGAAUGCCCCUGGUGAUAUAAAGAUGGGAAAGAACAAUACCCACCCAGUGCUUCACUUGAAGAAAUUCCAAUAUUCUGGAAAUCAGAUAUAAUUAAGGAUUCUGAGAUGAGGAGAUUAUCUUGGAUUAUCAAAGUGGGCCCUAAAUGCCACCACAGGCAUUAGUGUAAGAGAGGCAAAGGAAGAUUUGACACACGUAGAGGAGAAGGCGAAACAAAGAUGGAAGCUGAGACAAGAGUGAUGUGGCUUCAAGCCAGAAAAUGCCGGAAAAUACAGGAGCCACCAGAAACUAGAAGAAGCAAGGCACAGAUUCUUUUUGCAGAGCCUCCAGAGAAAACAUGGCCCUGCCCAAAAGCUUUAUUUCAUCCCAGUGAAAUUGAUGUUGAAAUCCUGGCCUCCAAAACUGUAAGUAACUUAAUUUCUGUUGUUUGAAGCCCCCAAGUUUUUAGGAACUUGUUCAAACAGUCACAGGAAACAAACAUAGUUUGUAUUAGAGUUUCUUUUUCUCCUUUAUGCUUUAUGAUAAUUUUUAAAAGGAUAAAGAAAGAGAUAUUUAUUUCACCUUCUUAAAGUUGGAAUCAUUUAAAUCUUUGAUUUAGGAUAGUUUCAUUUCUCAUAAUUUCAUACCUUCCAUAAUGAGGAUGCUCACUUUCAGAAGUAUUGGAGCUUUCCCAGAUAUGGGAUUUUAACACUGUCUUCAUUUAUUUUUCUCCCCUUCUUACUAUAUAUUUUCUCUUCUUAAACAGAUCUUACUUACUUCACUUUCUUCCCUUUCCCCUCUUUUUUCUUUUCUUUCUUUUUCCAACAACCUAUUGAUUAUUUAUUUAAUGUUAGGCAUUGUGGUAAGCUUUGAGAAUAUAGAACCAAUAAAGCUGUUUCUACUGCCUUCCAAGAGCUUACUAAGGAGCUUCCAAGAGCUCCUUCUAUUGAUAUAGAAAAGGAAUAAAAAUAACAUUUGUUUGGCACAAAAUAUAAAAUCAAAAACAGAAAGAAAAAUCAACAACUGAAAUACCAUACUGUAGGUGUUAAAUUAAAUGCAUGAGCAAAAUGCUGUGGUCUCAUGGACCUGAAAUGAAUAGUUCUACUUGACAGAAACGGAAGGGAUCUAUGAAGUAGUACCUGAGCAGGGUCUUAGGGGAUGAAUUGAGAUUUUAUGAAGAACUAAACAGGGAAAAGGCAUUUUAUGGAAAGAAACUGCCUCUACGGAGGGCACACAUAUGUUAAAGAGCAUGGAUUGCUUUGGCAUUUGCCAAUAGGCUUGGAGCAUAGAUUAAAGGUGGGGGAGGAUGGAGUCAUGAGACUGACUACAAAGGUUGGAGUCAAAUUAUGAUGAACACUUUUUUGCUUGUGUUAAGGAGUUUAGAUUUGUUUGAUUGAAGUAUUCAUAUAAUUUCACUCAUCUGUGGAAUUUAAGAAACAAAACAAAUAAACAAAGAAAAAAAGAGACAAAAAAACAUACUCUGAAAUGAACUGUUGGUUGUCAUAUGGGUGGGGGGGGGGGGGAGAUGGGAGAAAUAGAUGAAGGAGACUAAGAAGUACAAACCUCCAGUUGCAAAGUAAAUAAGUCAUGGAGGUGAAAAGUACAGCAGAGGGUAUAUAGUCAAUAAGACUGUAAUAACAUUGGUGGCAGAUGGGAACUGCAUUUUUCAUGGUAGCACAGUGUAAUGUAUCGAAUUGUUGAAUUAUUACUUUGUACACUUGAAACCAACACUGUGUAUGAAAAUAUGUGAGACACACACACACACACACACACACACACACACACUGAAAUAUUAUUCAACUAUGCAAAAGAAUGAGAUCUUGCCAUUUGCAACAACAUGGAUGGGCUGAGAAGAUAUAAUAAUGCUAAGUAAAAUAAAGAGUUUAGAUUUUUGUUAUUUUAGAAAUGGGAGGAAAUGGGCUUUAAGAAGGAAAUUGGCAUGGUCCAUUAGGAAUAAAACUGUCAGCAGUUUGAUUAUCACACUGAUGAAGAGAAGCUGGGAGAUCAGCUACAAGUCUUUUGUAAGAGACCCUGUGAGCUGUAGAUGACAAUGACCUGAGUCAAAGCAGAGGUAAUGGGGCGAUAAGAGAUAAGAGAAUGAAGAGAUAACUAUAAAACAAAAUUGGCAAAGUGAUGGAAUUUCUACCAUUAAGUAGGGAUGUUAAGUACAAAGGUAGUUGUCACAGAGUGCAAUUGGGUACUGAGGGAGAGGAACCAAAUUGAAUCUGGGAGGCACAGAGGACAGGACACCAAAGCUGUUUAUUCAGAGAAGGAACAAGUUAUUUGAAGAAGAGGAUCAGGAAAAUAGAUUGUGGCAACAAGGCUCUCCAAACACCAGAGACAAUCUGAAAAAUGGCAUGGAUGUGAGAAACAGAUUGGCUACUGGAUCGGCUCUAAGUGGCAUCCAAGUGCUGGUAUAGAAAUUCCAGUGGGGUGUGACAAAUGAAGGAACCAAUGAGUGGAAACCUCCGGUUAUCUUUCUUCAUCUUUUCUUUCCCCAAGUGUUCAUUUUCACAUUUCUACCAAUCUUUAUGCCUGGAACAGUUUUUGUCCAGUGGCUGUACUUUCUUCCUUCUAAAAUAUACUCAGAACUUCUAUCUGCCAGGACAACCAUCCCAAUUUCAUGUUCUCAGGAGAAAUUUGUAUAGAUUUGUACAGAUUAAAAAAUUAUAUCCUAUUGCUUUAUCUGUUUAUAGUGCAUCAUUUAUUCAUUCAGCACACAUUUAGCCCAUUAAAAGGAAUAGCCAAGAUACUAUGGCUUCCACUGGAAUACAAGUACACCGAUAUGUUCUCUUAUUUGACAAGUGUUAAGAAAAAAGACAACACCUCAUAGCAUAUCUUCAUUGUUCUAUGCACCUACAAGUAUCUUGCAACAUUUGAAUAUUUCUUCUUGAACUAUGUUCUAGGGAGCAAGAAAAGAAUAAACUUUGUAAUGUGUAAUCUAUGUAAUAUAUCCCAAAGUGCUUCAGCUAAGAUAUUUACAUAACUUUUGAAGUACAUGCCAUGGUUAGAAUCAAUUUCCUUUCCAUAAAAGCUUCAAAGUUAAUUAAUUUAGCCAAGAAUUGGGGGACAAAAAUCACAAACAUGGUAACAAUUCCCCAAUCUAAUUAAAUAGCAGCUAGGAUCUGAAAAACAAAUCUUUAUUGAACAUUUUUGAACUGGAAUCACGGAACUUUUUCUGCCUUUGUGUUCAGUAAACCAGCAUAUGCCCUUCUAAUUGUAAGUUUAGUUUUGAUCAUUGGGAUACAAGCUCAAAGAGCUCGGCAAAGUAGUAUGUUGCCUAGGGUUAGCUCUUUAGGAUUAUCUAACUGAAGAGUCUAAGUUUUAACAUUAGCACGAGCAACCAGAGUUUUGCAGCCUAACAAGGAUUUUAGAGCCAGUGGUAUAGAGUAUUCAGUUGAAUUCGGCAUCCUUGAUCCUGGUAGGCUUGCCUUUCUUGGCAAUAUCCUCUGACCCAGAACUCCCCCUGGAUAGUACCAAAUAUCCUUAUCUAAAGCCUGACAAUAGUUAUAAAGAGGUGAAUAUCAUUUUCACGUGUUGUAUAAUUUUAUUUUUGUAGUUUUCAGACAGAGUAUUUCACCCAUAUUAGAAUGAAUGUCUUGACACUCUAGGGAUUUGGGGCACCAAAAUCUCCAAAGGGAAGAAGGAGGACACAAGGUGGGCCACAGGGAAAGAUAACAUUGGGUGGAGUGGUCUUUCCACACUUCUCAAUGUAGCAUACAGCAUGUUCUUCACUACCUGCUUGUGAGAGCCCUGGUUUAUCUGAGACAUUCUUCAACAAGGGCCAAAUAGAAUCUCGCUCUCUAGUUCUUGCCUGAGCUCAGCCACCCUAUGUGAGCCUCGAUAUACUAGCAUGCAUGUGCCUAAUGCUUCUGCUCUCUUUUCCUUGAUUGAACUUGUUACCACUCUAUAUUCCCCAGGUGUUUCUGGGGCCCACGCAGAUUUAGCUGCCAGCAGCUAGAGCAAUGACUCAACUCGAUGGAAUCUAUUGACAGGGUGCAUGGGGAAUACUCAGUAUCCCACGUGUGAUCAAAAACAAUUCAGAUAAAAGGACCUCAGUUUAGCCUUGGCCUCACAGCAGAUCCUCACCUGAGGAACUCAACACUUGCCGCUUGUAUGGAUUCCUAUGGAAUCAGGCCUCAGUUUUUACCUCUCACCAUGCAGGACACACAACCCAUCCCAAUUUGUCCCAAUUUGUGACUUUGUGUGUGUGUGUGUGUGUGUGUGUGUGUGUGUAAUUUGUAAAGUUCUUUAUUUUCUGUGAUCUGAAUUAAACUCAUACUUUCCAACCACUCUAGGAUUCUCAACCCCAUCUACCAUCAUCUCCAAUCCAAUUAGGCUAUUUUCUACAUUCUCUUUUAAAGCCUCUGCUUGUAGGAUAUAGCAACUUAUGUCAGAACUGUUUACAUACAUGCAUUGCCUAUAUCUCUUCAGGAGCCAUGUUUUUAAUUUCCUUCCAAUCUCCCAGUCUAUUCAUUCAUUUAUUUUUUCAGAUUAUGCCAAUUUAUCUGUGUGUGUGUGUGUGUGUGUGUGUGUGUGCAUGUCUCUUCUGAUUCUGUCUCUGUCUCUGUUCUCUCUCUGCUCUCUCCUCCCUUUUCUUCUAUUUCUAAUCUCCAUAUUUUACUUCCUUGUUUUAUGGUUUUUGUUUUAACAACAUCUUUAAGUAACAGCACCAGACUGCUUUUAUAUAUUUAUUGAAACAACAAAGUUGUUGAAUGAGGGGAUUUUGGACAACCUGGACACUUGUUCCUCAGCAGGAGAUUUUGCUUUUAUAUUUCAAUACUUUUUCAGCUUUCACUGUUUAUUAAUGAUCCAUUUAUGUAGAGUUCUCUCUAUUUUCUUUUCCUUUCCCCUCCCUCCGUCGCUCCUGUCCUCCCUCCCUCCCUCCCUUCCUUCCUUCCUUCCUUUUUUCUUUUUAAACAACUUCACUCAACUCCCUACUUGCUCACUCACUUUGCUACACAUAUCCUAAACUACAGUAAUGUUCUUUCUUACUUUCCUACUGCUGCACCAGUCCAUUGGGAACCACACAGACUGGGAGGGUCUCAGACAUGAGUUAUUUUAGAUUGUCCGGGAAGAUCUAAUUAAGGGUCAAAGUAGUAGAUGCUGGGGGUGAUUGUCAUUGAGUGAAAGAUGCCUGUUGCCAUAGGCUCUCAAAGGAGAAAACAAAGGCUUUUUGCAUACACGAAAAUGAUUUUAUAUAUAAUUUUAAAUUUUUCUUGUGGAUCUAAGUACCAAAUUAGAAACAGUGAAAUGGAAGGGAAUGGGAAAAUUUUCAAUUAAUUAUAAAGGAAGACUCAUUCCAACUACUGACUGACUAUAUUUGAGGGAGUAAAUAAUCCAAAAUAAGUUGAAAGCAUCAAGAUUUGUGAUAAACAGAAUCCUCGAAUUCAUAAGAUAGUAAUGCCUGCCUCUACUUUUGUUUAAUGAAUGCUUCUCUCUUAUAAAAGAAAUACAGUUAAAUUACAAAUAACUUAGAAAGAAAACAAAGAAGUAAAACAAUCCAGGAUUCCGCUAUACAGAAAUGACAGUUGAUAUCAACAUUUGGAUACCUGAUACUUUUAUUAUAUUCACAGACACCUAUUUUACAAAAUUUGAGUCAUGUAUUAUGUGGGGUUUGUUUUAUUCCUGCUUUUAUGUACCUGAAGUUCACGUCUCAUAACUUUAUAUAAUCAUUAUUUUCUUUUACAUAUUUUUAAUUUUUUAUUCGAGUAUAGUUGACACACAGUGUUACAUUAGUUUCAGGUGUACAACUUAGUGAUUUGAUAAGUUUAGACAUUAUGCUGUGUUCACCACAAGAUUAAUUACCAUCUGUCUCAUUACAUCGCUAGUCCAAUAUCAGUGACUGUAUUCCUUAUAAUUCCCAUGACUUAUUCAUCCCAUAACUGGAAACCUGCAUCUCUCUUCCCUUCACCCACUUUGUCCAAUCCUUUACCGUCCUCCCCCCCGGCAACCAUAACUUUGUUCUCUGUAUUUAUAGGUCUCAUUCUGCUUUUUGUUUAAAUAGCUACAUAAAAUACCAUAUUAAAAAUUGAUAUAUUCUUAUUUUCAAUUUUAUGGGGCAGCUAUAAACAGCUUUGGACAAAAAUGUUGGUCUGUGUCACUGAAGACUUUCUUACUAAAGAGUCUUGGGUUUCUUAAAAAAGAAUCUUUGAUACAGUAUAUCCUUGAUAUAAUAUUACUGGGAAUCAUGCCCCACCUCAGAGCCUUUUCAACAGUGGGUGCCUCUCUAGAAGUGUUUUCUCUCAUAUAUUAUCUUGUUGGAUUCUUACACUGCGUUUUGAAUACUGGUCAAAUGUUACCACACCAGAGAGACAUUUCCCUGAGCACCUACAUAAAAUAAUGUCAUAUCCACCACCUCUGUAAUCAUGCAUUAUGUUUCAUCUUAGUAUUCAAUAGGACCCAAUAUGUUAUGUUUAUUUUAUUUUCUGUCUCCACGUUUUAGAACCUAAGCUAAAUGAGAGAAGAAAUACGGUCUAUUUUGUCAAACAAAACAGUGCCUCAAAUAGCUCUUGGCACAGAGUAAGUGAUUAAUAAAUAUUUGUUCAAUAAACAGAUAAAUAAAAAGAAAAAAGUAGGAAUUUGGGUACCUAUAAGCUAGUUCUUUUCCAGAAAGCUUGUUCCAAUUUAAACAUUCAUAAGCACAGAAUAAUAUACUUUGAAUAUUAAUUUUAAAAUUGUCAAAUAAUAGGAAAAAACAUACACUAAAUUUCAGUGUUUGGUUUAGUUUUCAUUUUUUUAUUUCUUCUUAGAAUUAUCUGUGCCUCUUUAUAUUUUUCCUUAAAAUGUUUCUUUAAAAUAAUGUGCAAGAGCUUAUAUGCAUUGUGUUGAAAUUUUUCACACUUUUAUGGACAUUUUCCUCUUUCAUAGUAUUCUUUUAGAUUUUCCUUAUGUUUUAUGACAUCUUAGGCAAAAAAAAAAUGUGUCGAGUAGAACAUUCCAAGAUUUCUUCCUCUGAGCUCACCAGCAAUAUUGCUAUAGACUUCAAACUUGUCUCCCUACUUUUUUAAGUUUGUCAUCCAUAUCAUUCAUGCUUUUUCAGUGUUAUUUAUAAUCUUUCAGUUUUUUCUUUAUCCACGAUUCCAUUUUCUUUUUAAAAGUAUGUAUUUCCAUUGUAUUAUCUUGUUUUUAUUUUAGGCCAUUUCUUCCUUCUUGUUUUGGAUGAUAGGGCUCAUGUCUUCAUGUAUUCUAUUUAAAAUGCCCCCUCUCACUUAUUUUAAUAGAUGAUACAUUUAGUUAUUGCUAUCCUUUUGAUAAUCUUCUUUUCCCAUUGUCUCUGUUGUGUUUAUCUAUAGGCCCUCAUCUUAUAUUUGUUUUCUACUUGCUCAACAAUAAAUCAGCCUAGAUCUAGAUCCAAUGUCAUGUUUACAACCAGAUGACACCUGUUGUUUUCUUACUAUCCACUUCUUUCUGGUUAAAACCCAUUUAUGCUGGUCAAAUACCCUUCCUGUCACCCCAGCUGGGUGACAGGUUGGUGUGCAGACCUCCCAGCUAGAGACUAGGAAGCCGACAUGAAGUCUGACUUUGCUGUCUACAGUGAGUGGUCUCCUCGGUCCCCAAACUGAUAGUUUCACAAGCAGGAAAAGCUAUACUUUGUAAUAUGUGUUUCUCUGCCCCAUCUUCCUACCCUUGCUACCACCUACAUUGCUUUAGCUAAAUUUGGGGAGGUUUAAUGUGUCACAUGCCAGGCCUCUCCCUCCUGUUUUCUGGUUCUAAGGCCAAAAUAUGAAGAGAUGGUAUUAUAGGGAUACUACUCUAUGUAAGUCAAGAAGCAGCACCUUCUAUUGAUUCCAAAGUGAUUUCAUGGCAGUCCAAGGUUUUAGUGGAAGAGGUCCAUGGAUCUCAAUUAAUUAAUUAAGAAAUGUUGAAAUGUUUUCUUGACUUUCAAAUGAAUAGGGUUAGUUCAUCUAUGUGUAUAGACCGUGUUGUUUUCUCGUAGUUUAGUAACAUUAACUUUAGAGGGAUGGUAAAGAAAUUGCCUUGAUUAAUCUUAGUUUUUAGAAUUUCGUAAGCUGUGUUUUUCUACGUAGGUGCUUUAAAAGAAAAUGUGCUGAAAGCAAUUUGUGAUGGGAGACUGCUAAUCAAAUGUCUUGAAAACUACAAGUUUGAUAGCAAUGUUUUUCAAGAUUCAUUCUGGUUCAUCUAUUCUUUUAUCCCAAAUUGACUAUCUUCCAAAAUAUUGCAGAUGAUUAGGCAAAAAUACAUAGAUGCAGGAUGGAAUUACUAUGGGAAAUGUCAGCAUCAUAUAACAAGUGACUAAUGUUUUGUUGUUAUUAUGUAAUGCUUAGAAAUGACAUCUUUAUCAUUUCAUAUAGAAAUAUUAUAUCCUAUCACUUUGAAUGGCUUUUUAACUAAUUGAAACAUAUGACAGAGUUUUGGUGAUAAAGUUAUCUGAGCUAUUGAAAUACUUUAGAUGAAUUUGGCAAAAAUUAUCUGCAGUGUUUGAUUAAAGCACCAUGACAUCUAGAGUAAUAGUUCUUCCACAUAAAAUGAAGAUGGAAACAGAGUGGGGUCAAACUGACAAACUUAUUUUCAGUAGCAUCCUGUUAGCAAUCUUCUCAAUGUAAGAUACCACACUUGGGCAAAGGGGAUUCUUUUUCAUAAGGUGUGUGUAAUUCAGAAAUGUCUGUGGUCAUUUUACUCAACUGGCCACUAUCUACUGUGAUAUCAGCAAAGCUGUUUUGAAUGCCGGUGUAUGUCUUGUCUUUUAAGAAGGUUAUUGGUGGCCUUUCUACACUUUAUCUGAAAGUCCUUUGUUUAGUGCAGGUAGAAGCUCUGUUGUAGCAGAGGCCAGAUCCUUGGGGCGGAUGAUUGUAGAGUCCUGAUGCAUAUGGCUGGCGUUUUUGUUGACUGACUCUCAGGAGUUAGUUGUUAGUCUUAAAUGAGGGAAACAAGAAAACAGUUUGUUCUUUAUAACACAUGAAUAUGGAACAUAGAAUUAUAGAAUGGCAUUGAGUCAGAGAAAUUUCUAAAGACGAGGUAUCUUUCAAGCAGUGAUUAGAAUUCUUGAUAUUCUACAUAUCUGGUAGCUAAAGAGCCCCAAAUGCUUUUGAAUAAUGCUUGUUUUCAAAAUAUGAAACAACCACAGCUGAAUCACUAAAUGGUGUCAAGUCAUUAUUGUAAUUAUUAUUUAACUCAAAAAAUUGUUACUACAUGGGAAGAAUUUUGGGGAGGGAUUUGAUUUUCUUUAUAGAGUUACAAUUGCCAUAUAACAUAUUAGUUUCUGGUGUAUAACAUAAUGAUUCAGUCUUUGCACUAACUUGUUUUAUUUUUUAUACUUAUUUAGAAUCAAUGUCAACCUCCUUUCCAAAUCUGUCAGUGACUCCUUUUGAAUAUUGGAGAAGGUGGAAACCCCCAAUUUCUGUCUUAGCUGUCCCCUAUAACUGAUUUUGACACUCUAAUUACCACAUUCUCUGUUACGACAGUUUCCCAAAAUGAUCUUAUCCACCUUAUAGUAUUCUCUCAUCCUGUGUCUUUCACCUAUCUUACUCAUUCUUGGAUUUUUGGUUUGUUUUAUUAAAGUCAGACAAUGUCCAAUUUGAAAGAUACUUCAGCUGGCCAAGUAAAGGUUAAUGAGAUGGAAACACUAAGUUUAGCAUCCACAUGGAAUAUUGUCAUUCCUAUAGAGCGUGGCACCAGAUGAGGCUUUGUGGCAUCAUCAAGGGCGAGAAAAUGUGGUUGUGGCAAAUCCACCUUUGAGUGAUGGCUAUUUUGUGUGUGUCUGGGGCGGGGAACUUUGCUAAUAUAAUCACUGUAAAGCACGUGUUCCUUAAUUGCAUUAUAGUAUUCACUAGCAUGAAUUUGAUUUGAAACAAAAUUCCCUGAUAUCUCUGCAUCAUUAACUUAUUGAUAAUGAUGGUGGCUAUUAUUUUUGAGAAAUACACAAACUUAAUGUAUGAAGUUUAAAUGCAUCUGUAGUUGUAAAAACAUGCUUUCCUCUUUCAUGUUCGCUUAUUUUCCUUUAUGUUGAAGUCUCCUUUUUUGAUAUUGAUUAAAGAAAGGAAGCAUUUGUCUUAACUUGAGAACAAAAUGGAAUUCUAAUUAAAGUAGUUACAAGAAAGGAAAAAUCAUGACAUUAAGAUAACAUGUAAUCUUGGAAGAGUUUAAAAAUAGCAAUUUCUGUCUCCCAAAGUGGUAUGAUUUUGAUUCCCUUAGGCAUAGAGAACUUUGUUUACGGUGGUUUAACUUUGCAGUUUGAUAGAAGUCAGUAUCUUCAAAAAACUGAAACAAAACCUAGGAACUCAGGGAUGAAGUGAUACCCGGAUCUGUGUGACACAUUAGCUAUUUUGUCAGUUCUAUAUUCCCAAGUUGGAAUUCAACAUAAAAGAAAUACCUCAUCACUUUGUUCUAAAUCGUGUCUGAUCCAACAUGGAAGAAAUAGAUUUGGGGAGCUUUCUUAUUAGAAAAAAAUCGUAUCUUUGACUGAAUGAAAUAGUUCCUGCAAAAAGCAACUUGGAAUUCACCUUUGGUCUCCUUCCUAUCUUUAGCCUAUUUGCUAUAAAAAAGGUUUCUAGAUUUUAGGGUCUGCUUAGUUUUGGUUAUCUCAGCUGUAAUAAGUAGCCUUGGGACCCCCGAAGGCACACCCCACACACUUAUGCUGCGUGACCUAAGGUCACAAGUAAUGGCCGCAAGCUAAUUGAUUGAGAAAGGCUUGUCUGGCGGGGCCUCUUUGCGUCCUCUCUUUACAUUCCUUAGUCCUGUGAAAGAGGCACUGGCCGCUCAGCUAGCAAGGAAGGAAAAAAGAGAGGAAGUUUCUCCGCGUUCUGAUUACUCUCUGAAUUCCCUUGUAGCGAGCUUACUUCUCUCCACCCACUUCUUACCGAGAACUUAAUUUGAAGGUGAACAACUUAAAGCCUGUUCCCAGAGAGGUCCCCGAAAGGUGAUUUGAGUGUUUACCGAACUGAAGGAACAAAUUACCUACUUGAGGCGGUGGGCAGCGUAUGGAAACGCUAUUAGAACUUCAGCAAAGUGCACAGCUGCCUAAUACCGAAGCCCGGGACUCAGAUUGAUAGGCAAAUCAGCCAGCUCGUGGAAGGGCCCUCUGGGUGGCGGCUCCGGGCUGGGCUAGUGGGUGCUGGACAACCGUAGGCAAAACAGAAAUGGAGCAGGGGCAGCAGAUAGCACACUUUUACGCCACGCAACUGUUGCUUUCGCAUGUCUACAGAUGCGCGGCUGGUGGUGUGGCUCCGACAGAGCAAGGGUUACAUCAAGGCUGUUCUCUGGACCGUGCAAACAGUCUAGACCAAUGACCUGCAGCAUCAUGCCCUUUGAAGAAGAGGCAAGUUCGGUCAUGAUGAAGAAAAAUCAAGGCGUACCCCUUUUAACAAUAGGGAGCAGCUCGAGGCUGCAAAGAGGUUAUUGAUCAUUAAAAUGGCAUUGUAAAGGGAUGACUCAGAAAUAACAGUAAGUCUUAAUUAUUUGAAAGACAUACUUUAAUGUUGUACUAAAACAUAUGACAGCAUAUUUGGCAUUUUUUCCCGUUCUAAUUUUGUGGGCUAGUAUAGGGCAUUGAAUGUGAACAGAAACCCCUAGACCUCAAAGUAUAUUUUUAUUUGAAGCCAAAAUAUUUUUAACUAAACUGUGCUAGUCAAUAAUUUUUGGAUUUGGCAAACUGUAGUACAGUCCUAUUUUUGAGAAAAGUCAACAAAGUGUUUCCCUUCUAAUUCAAUAUCCUUAUUUUCCCUGAAACAAUUUUUCCUUUUGGUGCAAAGGCUUAUGAACUUAGUGUUUUUACAGGAACAAUAAUACAUUGUUUCUUUUGCUAUGCUGAAAAUAAUUAAUGUUUAUGUUGGAUUUAAACUUUUGUCAGUCAGAAGAUCUACUGACUAAACCAGAUGAGAUAGAUAUGAUAAGAUUUCUUUCUUUAUUAGAGUUAGAUGAUCCCUGUUGGUAAUACACUUAUAUUUCAUGUUUAUAUAUUAUCAUUGCUCUUUUAAGCCAUGAAUCUUAGUAUGUUUCAUAUUUAUAAUAAGCUAUUUUGAUCAGCCAUAUGUUUUCUUCUGAAAUGGACAUAUAUCCUACACAAUAGACUAGAAGAAUAUUUUGUCUAGUGGUUAUUCAUUAGAAUAAUUUAAAAUAUCUGCUCUGACUAAAUUAUUAACCAAUACUUUAACACAGUAUUAUUUUAAUGCAACAGAUUUACUUUCUCUCCUGACAUUAAAAUAUAUUUUUCUGUUUGUAACAUUUCUACCCAAAGACAGUUGGAAAAAAAAUGCACUUAACAAAGAUAGCCUCAGUAAUAAAACACAGAAAAACAACAUUAAAUGCAAAACAGUGGGUGAAUUUAAAUAUAUGUGUGCACACACAAAUACACACACAUAGAAAUGAAAUGGCUAAAUAGUAUUAUAUCAUUGCAUAUCUUAUAGAUAUGUAAUUAUGUAUCAUAUAAGUAUAUGAUGAUAUAGAAUAUAUUUAAGUACAUUAUAUAAGUACAUAUAAGUAAAUUAUAUAAGUAUAUAUAAAUAUUUAAAUAUAUGUGACUAUAUAGACAUAUAAUUAUAAAAGCAAUAUGUUGUAAAACUCAAAACAGACUCAUACUAACCUUUUCCUCCUCUUAGUCUCCAUCCCCCUCCUUGAGAUAGUCAAUGUCAAAGUGUGCUAUGUUCCCCUGUACCUCAGGAGAGUUCCUCCAACCUCAGAAAGCACAGAUGCAUAUCUCUUUUGUCAGAAAGAAGUAGUUUUGCUUCUGAUAUAUUUUUUUUAUGACCAAAAUAUCAAGAACAUUGCUCUUCACCUUGUCUUUCAUAGCUAUCCCUUCAGGUUAAUAUGCAUAACAUUCCAUAUUUUGCCACACUACUUUUAAUUAAAACAAAAAUCUGGAUGUUCACCAUCCUUUUUUUAUGACAGCCAUAGAUGAGAAAAUACCUGUAUUGCCAUGAAUGGCAAAUCUCAGUGAUGUUUUCAUUCCAACUCUGAGAGGCAUGAAAAUGACUCCAAGGCCUAUGUUAGAACAGAUAUCAAGAUUUCUGAGGUGAAUAGUAACUCAGUAAACGUGAGUUCUUGUCCUGAUCUGUCUGUGAUGUGUUGUUAUCCAUCUCCAACACUAUCUGAUCCUUAUUAUAGAAUACAUGCUGCUCUGAUGUAAGGGUGGCAUUCUUCAGACACCACAAUUGAUGAAAAAAAAGAGUCACAUUAUAAAAUUACGUGUUUCAGUAAAAAGGAAUGAGUUAGAGAAUGGAUUUGCUAUUUUACUACCAUCAGUGGUUAAAAUAUUCAGGAUUUUCUUUAAAAUUAGGCAAUAUGAAAGAGAGAAAAAUAAAUUAAGCCAUAGACUUUUACAAAUGAACAUAAUUCAAGGAAAAUAAACAGUGAAAACAUAGUUGAGGGUAAAUAACAUUACUUAAAACAUUAAGCGAUUUUGUUUAGAAUGAUAUUGAUCAUUAGAAAGCUAUAGAUAUGUAUAAUAUAAACUAUUGUAUAUAUUCAUUAUUUAAAUAUAGUACAUGUAUACUGAUAUUUAUUAUAUAUUUAUAUAUUUUCUAUAUUAUAUAUCUUCCAUACUGAUAGAUGCAUCUGACUUUUGACCAUAGAAUAUUUGUAUUUUAUAAAAUUUAAAUCCUAACAUGACAGUAUGACAAACCUAGACUGAACUUUUAAAAAGGUUUUCAAAUUAAUAAGUUUUAAGUCUCUGUGUAAGAGUAUGGUGUUUGCGUAUGUAUUCAUAGCAUUGAGCCUACAUUUGGAGUUAACACUGUGGAUCAGGCAGUUUUAGCCCAGCCGAAGUAUGAAGAGAACAUUGACAAGAAUGAUUUAAUUCGGUCUACCAAUAUUUAUUGAACAUUUACUAUGAGCUACAUAGGCUUCUAAGUGGUGCAUUUACAUAGAUGUAAGUCCCGACAAGCAUGGCUCUUACAUUCUUGUGGCCAUGAUGGAGGCAGAGGAAGGGCAGACGUUAAACCAACGAUCAAACAGAUAAAAAAUAUCAUACUGUUUUGUGAUGAAUAAAGUUGAGUGGGAGACUUGGGGGAAGGUAUCCUCUCUUUGAGGCUGGGGAAGACUUUUCUGAGUUAGUAGCAUAUGAGAAGAGACUUGCUAUGCACUUGUCUAGGAAAGAGCAUCCCAGCAGAGGGAAGAACCCAAGUCAAGUUUCCAAGGAGAAAGUAUACGGCAUAUUAGAGCAAUACCCAAGUGUCCAAUAUGGUGGGGCAAGCCCAUGUAAAGUUCUUCUUGGUCAUGUUAAGAAUAUUGGAUUUUUUUUCUAAGUCAAAUGGGAAGCCAUCCAUCAGAGCCUAUUGAUCAGAGAUGUGAAUUGAUUUAGAUUUUUAAGAGUUCACUUUGUUGUGUAAAGAAUAGCCUGAGAGAGAAAGGGAAGAUCAGUUAAAUACUUAGGAUAGUACUUCAGAAGAGUAGACUUCUUUAGGCUAGGUGCUUUUAAAUAGAAUGAUUUAAAUCUGUUGCUUCUUUAGUCUAGUUUCCUGAGGACUGCUUUUUAACAAAGGGUUUAUUUGGUACACAAAUCAGUGUUGAUGGGUUUUUUAGUGUGUGUGUGUGUGUGUGUGUGUGUGUGUGCAUUUUGUUUUGUUCUUUUGGGUGUUAUGUUCUUUUUAGCUUGAUGAGUAGUGCUAAUUUUAACUUAAGUUUCAAAUACUGAUUGAUAUUUAUAACAUACACCUUUAAUGUGGUUACAAAAUAAACAAAAACAGACCAUUAAGCCAAAUGAAGAAAUAAUAUAGAUAAAAUGUUCCAGUUUUCUGAUCUAGGUCUGAUAACCCAAUUUAUAUACCUUAGAAAUUUUACCUAUCUUGUGUGUAAAUGAACUGGAUAAUUGCAACAUAUUCCGUAUUUUUUUCCAUUAAAGUAGAAGAAAAAAGUGGAAUUUAUAUUUGUAAUCAUAGAAGGUGUUAGUAAUACUCUGGAACGUAAAGCAACUUCGUGAGUGCUUGUCUUUCAGUAAACAUUUACAAUUUAAUGAUAAAUACAUUUGCAUAUCUAAGGCCAAAUUUGAAAUAGUCUGAUGUGAUGCUGCAAUUCCUUCUGGUCUCAGCUAAAUUGCAUGUGAUUAACUAAUAAAAGUUGACACUGAACUCAUUUUGGAUUUUAAAUGUAAAACAUAUGUGGCAAAAGCUGGUUUCACAUAUGUGAAACACCUCAAAGCUGUAUAUGUCAAUAUUUAUUUAGGUCUACUUUCAUAAGUCUUUGCGUAAUGAUCCUAAAAUUAAAUUACUGGCCUUUAGAAAGUUACUAUGACAAUGUCCAAACAGAAUUGAGAUCUCACAAAUAAAAUCCUGAGUUAAGGCAUCUUUGCCAUCAACCUAGCACUAAAGUGUCUUCUGAAAGAUGUCACCAUGAAAAAAAAAAGAAAGAAAGAAAGAUAUCACCAUGGAGAGAUGUUUGUUUGGCCUUUCAUCCUGCUACCAAACGAAUGUACACAGUUCAGCUGAUGUCUUAGAAGCUGUUACAUUGUGCAAGAGACAAGGGUUCUGCUUUUCUUGCUAACCAGUAUAAUUUGCUGUUGUUUAAUCUCUAGAUCUGGCCCUGGAAGAGGUUAUGGUCAUGAGUACUCAUCUGGGAGAUGAAAAGACAGAGUCAGGGUGGGAGAGGGGGACAGAGAGAAGGAAGGCAAGGGCUCAAGAGAACCACAGAUGGGAGGAAAGGAUCUACCUCUGUUCCGGGGUGUCUCAGAUUGUGAACAUCGAUCUCAUGGUGUGGGUAAAUCCGGGGGUGAAAUAGAACUAUUUUUCUUACUACAUGCAUAGUACGUAAAUGCAAACUAUAGUAUUCUGGAUAACCAAAGAAACCACAUUUAAAAAGAAAAGUAAAGGGGCGCCUGGGUGGCUCAGUCGGUGAAGCAUCUGACUUAGGCUCAGGUCAUGAUCUCACGGUUUGUGAGUUUGAGCCCCGCAUUGGGC